rnacentral:rRNA from 1 species
GUCCUCUUGAUGAUAUUUUGAGGUCUGGCCUGCUCACUGACAAGGUUUUGAAGAGCCGCGGUAUUUUGACCGUGCAAAGGUAGCAUAAUCAUUAGUCUCUUAAUUAGGGGCUGGAAUGAAUGGCUUGACGAGAAAUCAACUGUCUCUUAAUAAUUUUUAAAAUUUAACUUUUGAGUCAAAAGGCUUAAAUUUUUCUUUAGGACGAGAAGACCCUAUAGAGCUUAACAUUUUAUUUUUAUAUAGUUUUUAGUUGAUCUUUAUAUAUUUAAUGAUAAUGUUUUGUUGGGGUGACAUGAAGAAUAAUUAAACUCUUCAUUAUAAAAUCAUUAAUUUAUGUUUAUCAUGAUCCAUAAUUUAUGAUCAUAAGAUUAAGUUACCUUAGGGAUAACAGCGUAAUUGUUUUCGAGAGCUCAUAUCGACAAAGCAGAUUGCGACCUCGAUGUUGGAUUAAGAGAAAUUUUGGGUGUAGGAGCCCAAUAAUUAGGUCUGUUCGACCUUUAAAUUCUUACA